GACGAACGCUGGCGGCGUGCUUAACACAUGCAAGUCGAACGGUUAAGCGCCUUCCUUUUUGGUGGGUGUGGAUGAGUGGCGAACGGGUGAGUAACACGUGAGUAACCUGCCCCCUUCUUCUGGAUAACCGCAUGAAAGUGUGGCUAAUACGGGAUAUUCUGGGUCUGUCGCAUGAUGGGUCUGGGAAAGAUAUUGUUUCGGUGGGGGAUGGGCUCGCGGCCUAUCAGCUUGUUGGUGGGGUGAUGGCCUACCAAGGCGGUGACGGGUAGCCGGCCUGAGAGGGUGGACGGUCACACUGGGACUGGGACACGGCCCAGACUGCUACGGGAGGCAGCAGGGAGGAAUAUUGCACAAUGGGCGCAAGCAUGAUGCAGCGACGCCGCGUGAGGGAUGGGGGCCUUCGGGUUGUGAACCUCUUUCGCCAGUGAAGCAGGCCUGCCUCGUUUGUGGGUGGGUUGACGGUAGCUGGAUAAGAAGCGCCGGCUAACUACGUG
rnacentral:rRNA from 1 species